AUUUUGAUUGUAACUUGUUUUUUAAUAUUUAAAAUAAAAAAUUUUAUAUAGUGUGUUUACAAACCUUCCCCAAAAAUAAACUUUUAAACUGGAUCUUUGAGGGACCUUCACUUAGUCUUCUGGGGCAUGCAUUAAAUGUAAUGCCUCUUAAAACAUUUACAUUUUUUUUGAUGGUCUGUUGCAUGUACAUGUAUUAAGACUUGCAUGUUUUGACAUUUAACCUAUUAUACCAAUAUUGUAUUGUGGGGGCGGG